rnacentral:rRNA from 1 species
GACGAACGCUGGCGGCGUGCUUAACACAUGCAAGUCGAACGGUGAAGGGAUCAGCUUGCUGGUUCUGGAUGAGUGGCGAACGGGUGAGUAACACGUGAGUAACCUGCCCCCUUCUUCUGGAUAACCGCAUGAAAGUGUGGCUAAUACGGGAUAUUCUGGGUCUGUCGCAUGAUGGGUCUGGGAAAGAUAUUGUUUCGGUGGGGGAUGGGCUCGCGGCCUAUCAGCUUGUUGGUGGGGUGAUGGCCUACCAAGGCGGUGACGGGUAGCCGGCCUGAGAGGGUGGACGGUCACACUUGGACUGAGACACGGCCCAGACUCCUACGGGAGGCAGCAGUGGGGAAUAUUGCACAAUGGUCGCAAGCCUGAUGCAGCGACGCCGCGUGAGGGAUGGAGGCCUUCGGGUUGUAAACCUCUUUCGCCAGUGAAGCAGGCCUGCUCCUUGUGGGUGGGUUGACGGUAGCUGGAUAAGAAGCGCCGGCUAACUACGUG